UACGAAGGGGGCUAGCGUUGCUCGGAAUUACUGGGCGUAAAGGGAGCGUAGGCGGACAUUUAAGUCAGAGGUGAAAUCCCGGAGCUUAACUUCGGAACUGCCUUUGAUACUGGGUGUCUUGAGUGUGAGAGAGGUAUGUGGAACUCCGAGUGUAGAGGUGAAAUUCGUAGAUAUUCGGAAGAACACCAGUGGCGAAGGCGACAUACUGGCUCAUUACUGACGCUGAGGCUCGAAAGCGUGGGGAGCGAACAGG
rnacentral:rRNA from 1 species